rnacentral:lncRNA from 1 species
GUGAGUAGCCGUGACUUGGGGCCUGGGCACAUCGUGGAUCUUCGGAUAUUUGGGUGCUAAAAGCUCAGAGCUGUGUCUGCCGUGAAAGGGAAGGGUGGGGAUCCCACAGUCCCCAAGAUUAGAAGAAAAAGGCAAUCCAUUAUGUCUGUGUGCUCUGUCAUGAAAGCCAGGCAAAGAGAAACAGGUAUUUUUUUCUAAAUUUGAACAACCCAGAAGGAAGAGAUCCUUUUUUUUCUCCCUACUGCGUAGGGAAUUUGGGAGAAUUUGGCAUCUUCCCUGAACUUUGCCUGCACUUUCCUUGGGUUCUGGUCCUGGUUCUGCCCAAACUGGCUGUGUGACCUUGAGCAGUCUCUCUCCUUCUCUGGGCCCCAGUCUCCCAUCUGUAACCUGAGGAGAUGAGGCCAGCUGAUUCCCAAGGACCCUGCCGGCUCUCACGUUCUCAGAUUCCAGGGAUGGAAAUUCCUUAUCUCCCAUGUCCCUCAGUAUCUUGUCCUGGUGUCCUAUAACUUCAAGUCUCAAAACCUGUUUUGGCUUCGCCCAAAUAUACAAUUCCAGCAUUGUAGGGAGCCAGGAGACACAGCCAGCCAGGAAUCAGCUGCGAACUAGGAAACGGAAUAUCUGGCCCUGUCUUGCUUUGCAAGCUUUGCUUUCGGAACAGGUGAGGGGCUGGUGGUCCACCGUCCCACAUCCUUCUCCAUUCAGAUCUAACCAGCAUUCACGGGGCACAUCUCAGUCUUGUUAUCUUUCUUAGCAUCACCACGUGCUUGGGAGUUAUCUCCAUUUUGCUGACAGGCAAACUGAGGUUGAAGAUGCUCACCCUGCUCUCAGAGCUGGGACAUAAGUGGUGGAGCAGAGAUUCAGAGCCAAGUCUGAAAAACUCUUUCCAACAUGCUUUGCUGCGUUCAUUCCCGUGAUAGUCCUUGCUGUCAAUCUAAGAGAAAACUGUGUGUCAGUGCUAGGCCUCUGGGCCAGGCUGUCUGGGUUCAAAUCCCAGCCCUGCCACUUUCUAGCUGUGUCACUUUGGGCAAUUCAAGAAACUACUCUGGGCCUCAGUUUUCUCAUCUCCAAACUGAGGAUAAUGAUCAUUCUUAUCUUACAGAAUUGUCUUGAGAAUUAGAUGUGUCAGCGUGUAAGGUGUUUACACUAGUGUCCGGCACAGAGAGAGUGCUAUGUAUGUGUUUGUUAACUAAAUUUUAAAAAAUAGGGACUAGGUUGUAGUCAUCCUUUUAUCCCCAGCAUUUAGCCCUUACUUGACCCAAAGCAGGCACUUAGUAAACAUCUGUCAAAGUCCAGUGCCCUCAGGCUCUGCUUCCUCUCUGCCCGUCACCAGCUGUGACCUUGACCAUGUCACCUCACCACACUGAGGUUCUUGUCUCUGGCAAAUAGGGUGCACAGCUUUAUCCUAAGACCAGCUAGGGCUUGUUGUGAAAAUUGAGUGGCUAUAGACACAAAAUUGCUUUGGGAAAGGUAGGUACAAGGAUUCUAAAUACGGAUGUAGUGUAUUAAAGUUUAAUGCCAGAAAUUCCAGCAAGGUCAGAUGCAGCCAGUCCUCUGGCCUUCCGAUGCCACCUGCCCUUCUCCUGGCUGGGAAGGAGGGAGGUGGUUUUAAAACAGCCGGAGCAGAGGGUGCUAGAGAGAAAUUGCUGGCUGGUCUUGUUCCAGUCAGUGGCCCAUCACCCCUCACCCCCAUCCUCACCAAGCCUCUUAUCAGAUAGCUCUCCCGGAGCCUGGGUUCCUGCCAUGACCCCAGCCCAGGCCUCCAGACCUGCCUCCCAUUUUUAUUUGCAGCCAAUAUGUCACAGCUCGGAAGCCCUAGGCAGGGUCUUCAUGGCUGACUGCUCAUGAGCAACUAACUCCACGAUGAAGAAAAACCAGGCCAGAUCCUGGCCACUUCCCUGCUCCCCUCCCUCCCUCCCUCCCUGCCAUGCUCAGAUCUUAAAGAGCUAACACAGCUCUUCCAACAGACCCAACCGACAUUUACUGAGUAGCGACCCUGUGCCGGGCAGUGGGGGAGAUAAAGAUGAAUCAGGCCCAGCUCCCAGAGGCACCAUUUCCCGGCUGGGUGCCCCUGAGCCCCGGUUUCCUCAUCUGUAAACUGGGUAGGACAACACAUACCUCCCUGGGAUUGUCGAGGAUUCCAGGACACAAUGUAUGGGAGUGUCGAGCCCAGUGCCCCACAAGCGCCCCACAAAUGGCAGCUGCAAUCCCGUUCUGUCUGCAUGUUGCUGGCAGCUCUGUGCAUAGACACAAAUGAACAGGGGUCCCAGGCAGAGGCCGGGAGGUCCAGACGAGCUCUGUGGAGGGGGAGACAGCGGGCAUUCCUGCAGCUCUGGAGGCCGUGGGCAGGAGGUCUGCAGGCUGGCAGCGGCCAAGGAGGGAGGUGCAGGCUGGUUGGUAUCAGCAAAGACACUGAGGCUGGGAAGUUCAGGGGUGUUUAGAAAGAGGCAGGAAGAUUGGUUUGCUGGGGGUGGGAGCGGAGAGAGAAUUGUAGCAGGGCAUGGAACGUGUGCCCAGCCCCAUGCUGGGGUCUGCACACGUCACCCCAUUUGACCUUGGGAUGACAGAGGACAAAGGUGCAGAAAAGAGAGGAGCAGAAAGAGGGCUCCAGUACCCACGGUGUCACUGGACUGACACCCAGGUCUGUCUGCCAGCACCGUCCAGGCUCAGGCCGACCUGGUGAAGGACUGGAGGUCAGGCCAGAACAAAACAGGGGAGCAAGAGAAGAAAUGGGCAAUAAGAACAGAUCGCCCGAGGCAGUGGGGCCCCACUCUUUGUGCUUCUGGGGUGGGAAGAUGCAGACACCUCCCCUUCCCCACUGCCACCCCCAAACACAGUCCUUUUUCUGGAGGAUGAUGGGCAGGAUGGAUGUGAUGAUGCCCAACAGGCAGCAAGAUGGGAGGCAGAGCCCUUUGUGGGCCCAGGAAAUUCUAUUCCAGGCGCUCGGCUUUGCCGCCUCUCCCUCUAAAGGCCAAAGGGCCGGAGCCCUGCCCACCAGCUGGAGGAUGCCUUCAACUCCCAGCGGGACCUGGGGCAAGUCACAGAGCUCCUCUGACCUUCCGGUGCCUGCUCUUUAAAACCAGGGGUCAAAUCACCCGCCAGUCACAGGGGUCCCUUCCAGCUCUGAGAUGCCCUGGAUGUCCCAGUGAAUAAACCUCUAGACAGGACCAGCUCUGCCCUUUGGCCCAGCCGUGUGACCUUGAAUAUCAAUAGCAAUGACACCUAACCUGGGGGAGCUGUUACUGUGAGCCAGGCACCCGGCUUAGCAAGUCACUCAUUUCAUCCUCCUAGCUCUCUGUGAGGCGGAUCCUGUUACCGUCUCCAUUUUACAGAUGAGGACACUGAGGCUCAGAGAGGUUAAGGGUUUGCCUAAACUCCCAUGCCUAGGAAGAGAUAAGGUCAAGAUCUGAGUUCGGGUCUGUCCAGAUCCAAAGCACAUGGCCUAUGCUGCCUGCUUCAUUCAGAGUUUAGGAAGCAUCCACCACGAGAUGAUUUUCUUAUUCACUGAUGCUUCUUUCUCCCCUACUGGGACGUCAGCUCCACGGGAGCAGGAACUUUGUUUCGUUUGAUUCUGACCCCAACACCUGGAAUAAGCCCUGCCACAUAGGAGGGGCACAAGAAAAGUUUGUUGAAUGAAUGAAUGAGUGAAUAUGUGUCCAGCUCUGGAGAUCCAAUGAUGAGGAGGUGCGGUACACAGGGAGAGGUCUGCAGGUCAAGGCUGCAGACCCGUGUGGGCUGGGUGCUGGCGUGUAGCAGGUGCUGGGGGAUUCCAGAGCAGGGUCUGCCUCCCUCCCCAGCUGUUUGCCCUUCUGAAGGUGAGUGAUAUUUGCCAGGCCCUUCAGGGCCCAAGAUGGAAGGGAAGGGGCAGAAAGACAAAGUCCUCCUGAUGACCCUUUGCAUUCCCGUCUCUGGGGCAACUGCUUCCAGGAAGCGCAAAGACGUUUACAGAUGUGGUCGAUUGAUUCUGGAAGGCCACCCUUGAAAGGCUGGGGCAGAGCUGGUAAAAGGGGGUUUUAAGGCAGAAAAGGAGACAGAAGCUGGACAGAGGUGGAAGGUAGCCAAAAACCCAGCCACAGUUGCAAAACUGGGCACAAAUAGCAGGCGAGACUGCUAAGUGGCAGGUUCCUUCUUGAGUACUUGUCCUUCACAAGGGUGGCUCACAUACAGGGCCCAGCGUCAGAACCCCCCGGCUUUUCACAGCACAGAUGGCUGGGCCCCACCCCAGAGUUUCUGAUUCCUUAAGUCUGGGGUGGGGCCCAAGCGCUUGCAUUUCUACCAAGUUCCCAGGUGGAGCUGAUGGUCCCGGGGCCACCCUUUGAGAACCACUGCCUUACAAUAAUCCUAGAAAGUGGAUGCCAUCACUCUCCCUGUUUUACAGAUGAGGAAACCGGGGCACAGAGAGGUUAAGUAACAUGCCUAGAGUCACUCAGGAGCAGAGCCAGGACCCUGUGCUUCCUUGCCUCUCACGUGGGCCCGUGUCCCCAGCCUGGGCUUUCCACACCCAACGCCUGCCCGCAUGGAACAUGCAGGCUGGCAGGAAGAGCAGUUACCACCCCCGGGCACAUCCUGUGUGCCAGGGGCUGCACACGGCCUUCCCCCUUUUAGCUCAGGCAGUCCCCACAGCAGCUCCACAAAAUACACCCACACUGGACAGACAAGGAAACUGAGGCCCAGGGAAGGGGAGCCACUUGCCCAGGAUCACCCAGCUAUUCAGCACUCAGGCCCGCUUCAAACCUUGACACUCUGGCUCCAAAUAGCACCCCCCUUCCCCACCUUGCUGUAGACAAGAUCUGCACACCCCAUACCCUCGCACACACGCACGCACACACGCCAUCCUGGUUACGGUUCCCUGAAACCCGAUCCCGGCGGCAGAUCCAGUUUCCUACGCUUCAAGCCUCUUCCAGCUCGAGAUCCUGUGGUUUGCUUUUUGCUUCCGUUGCUGCAAAAUUUAGUCAUAAUUAUUGCCUGACCGUUGCAGGCUGCUCAACUCACGUGCCUGAAGGCAUUCAUCUUUUCUGCUUCCUUCUGGCAAAAUCCCUUCUGUUUUAUCCUUAAGUAGCCUAUUUAACAGGGGCAGGAGUGGGGAGCGAGGGAGCCCUGAGGCUUAAACACCUGAACGCGGGAGGGCAGAAGGCGUGCUGCCAGCCCUGUGAGCUGCCACGGCUUCUCCUCUCUGGGCAUCCAUCCCCUCACCCCAGAGCGGGGUAGGAACACCCCUCACAGGGGUACUGCUUGAACUGAGUGAACGUUCUGGAGAUGAUUCCUCUCCUCUUCCUUUGUAUGUAUGCUUUCUCUUGUAAGCCCCCUCAAAACCCUUAGGAAGUACUGGAACACCAGUCCCGGAAGAAAAGGAAAUCGAGUCCCAGAUGGGAGGAAAGUGAGCAGGAGGGCAGGGGAGCCCUGCCGCCUCCCUGUAAUGCCAGCCCUCCGGCCCCUGUGCGAUCUGAUUUCCAAGCAGGGCAGGAUGAGCAUACUGGGGCCAGCCCGCAGUCCUGAGGGCAGGGCCCUAAGGUGCGCAGCGUUCUGUUCCACCUCACUGUACCCUCACACCGGCCCCCUAUGAUCAGGGGACAGAGCCUGUGAGCCCCACUGAGAGAUGUGGAAACUGAGGCCCAGUAGACAUGAAGUGCCAAAGUCACAUAGCAAACCUUGGCCGAAUGGCACCUGGGUCUCCUGACUCUGCCACUCCCUCCCCCGAGCUGAGUUGAGAUCCUCGAGUUGUAAAUGGUUGCUGUGCUUUGCAGGAUGCUCGCCUUAAUUCCUGCCUGGACUCCCCCUAACUGCGGCCUUCCGCUGCGCUGGAUGAGGCUGGCAAAGGGGGAGGGGCGGCCCUGCUCACAUAACUCCCCUCCUGUGAUGAGGAGCAGUAGUGGGGGCAGGUGACAUCCCUUCCUGCCUCUGGGGGGGUCACGGCUCAAGUCAGAACCCAGGGCGCUUCCACUCCAACCUCUAAGAAAGAGACUCGCCCCGGCAUGAGCCACGCCUGAGUCAGAAUCUUCCUGGCUGAGUGCCUCUGAGCCUCAGUUUCCCUGUAAGUAAAAUGGGGGUAAGAGAGCUGGCAAGGAUGAAAUGGGAUGACACACAGGGCAGUGCCUGGCACACAGUGAGCCCCCGGAACUGUUGAUGCCCUCUGGUUCGACCCCGAAUGACCCUGCCUCCCGGUUCUGUGGGGUGGGAAAGUGAUCCCUCUUUGCAAUACGGAUUUAUAAGAAGCCCAGCCCUGGAGCUAUUUCGAGGCGAGGUGAUAAACCAGCAGACCGGUGCCUUGUCUGGUCAUCACGACAGAGGGGAGGAAGCAGCCUUCCAGGCGCUGACUAAUGUCUGUCUCAGUUUCAUUUCAGGCUAUCAGCGUGUGCUGGGCUCACCUGUCAAUAGCUUCUAAAUUUGUCCAUUCCCACAGCACCCAGGACUGGGACAGACCUAAUUAGGCUAAUUUCAGUCUCCUAAGGGAAAGGAAAGGACUGAGUCCUCCCAUCCUCUGACCCUCCAUCGGCUGCUCCCUCCCCCCAUCCCUACCUCUCACCUCUCUGAUUGGAUGAUGGAGAAACCAGCAAACUGGCCCCGGGGGCCUCGGGUGAGGCGUCCAUGCAGAGGUAGGGCUGUGCCUGGGUGCUCAUAGGAGGAAGGGCGCUGGGUCCCUCCAGAGGGGCACUCUCCCUCGCACGUCAGCAGUGAGCAUUGAUCUAGCGUGACCCUCUGUCAGCACCACUGUACUGGGCACUUCUCAUCCAUCAUCCCAUGCUGUCCUCACUACAACCCUACAGCAGGUGCUCUCAUAUCCCCAUUCUACGGAUGUGGAAACUGAGGGUCAGAGACUAAGUUUCCACGGAUGGGUGUGCUGGAGGGGCGAUCCUGACUCAGAUGCGAUAGACAGCGUCAGAAACUUCCACGAGCUCAGCUGCCGGUCCUUUAGGCUUCCCGUGUCCGCUGGCUCUUUACAUCCUCCUUGUCUUCGUUUCAGGAUUUUUAUGGAUAUUGUUGUUAUUUCAAAGCCCCAACCUGUGACAGUUGUGCUGAGGAGACACAAGGGAGGCGAGACUAACAUUUAUAGACCACCUACUGUAUGCCAGGCAUCUCUCUGUAUUCUCUCAUCUCAUCUUCCCCAGAGGUGUGCAAGUAGGCCGCAUCAUACCCACUUUGCAGAUGAGAAAACUGAGGCUCAGAGAGGUAAAGUAGUGAUCUGAGGCCACCCAGCCAGGAGGUGAUGAAACAAGAUUCAGACCCAGCCCCAGGGCUGCUGGAAGGUUGCUGGCAGGUGCCAGGGCGGGGACAGGAAAUGACAGGGGAUAACAAUGACAAGGCCAAGAAAUAAAGGUACCAUGCCAUUUGCAGGGUCCUCGCUCUGUGCCAGGCAGUGGCCAGGCAUCUUAUAGGCUUGGUUUUAAGGUGGCUGGAACUAUAGAAGCAUCUUGAUAACAACGGGUACCAAAGGCUGAGUGCUGGCUGUGUAUCAGGCGUGUGACCCAGAGCUUUAAGGCUGCUUCCUCUGAGCACCCCAAGGAGCUCCAUCUUACAGAUGAGGAAACUGAGGCACAAGGAGGUAAAGGAUCUAGUCCAAGGUCACAGAAGCAAGAAUGGGAGUUGGGAAUUCACUCUCAGCCUCCUUGCUCCAAAUGCUGUGGGAGAGCUGGAGAGCUGUGUUCUAGACCCGACACUGCACGGAUGAGAAAACCAGGACCCGGAGGGUGAGGUGUCUUGUCCAUGGACUUGAGUGGAUGGCAGAGCCAAGACUAGAACCCCACCCUCGAUGCCCCAUUCCCCUCCCAGCAUCCUACCGCCAAAUUGGUGGACCUAGACUUUACAGAGUCUUGGUACGUUUCUUCAUUUGUUUUUCUUUAAGGAGAGACCUGGAUGUUUUAGAGGAGAUGUUUUUUGAUGGGAGGGCUGUUCGUUAAUUGACUGCUUCCUAAGCACUCUGCCCUCAGGGAGACACGGAAAGUACAGAGUAGGUGACCUCUGUCCUCAAUUUGUCUACAAAGUGCCCUGCUCCAGGUUCCGGGAGGAUAAAAUUAGAAUCCUGCGUUCUCUGCAGAAAGCCAGGGCACGAGGCCAUCGUGACAUCCUGGCUGCUUCAGGGCCGACCCCAGGGGCGGAGGGGGCUGCUUUCAAAAACCCCACAGGUCCAAAACAUCUCCCAUAGUCAGGCUCCAAAAUGCCUGACUUUUCAGCACCAGAGGGUCCCUUGGUCAGCGUCCCUUGGUCCCUCUCACGCUGACAGCACCAAAUGCCUCAGUGACUAAUGGGCUCUUUGCUGAUGAGCAGCCCGAGAACCCGUAAUUUCUAGGGUGAGUGUUAGGGACGUCGGCGCAGGUCGGGAAACCGUCAGGACCAACUUCCUCUGUUGAUAAUCUCUCCGUGAGCUGGCAUCAAGGACGGACUCGUGCCUCCUUUAUCCCAGGACAGAGCAGCUCGGUGCCCAAGGACAGGCGAGACCGGCUGUGGCCCAGUGUCCUGGAUUAAAUGGCAGGUUGAAGCUGGAGAGAGUUCAGGCUCCCACCCAAUCUGGGACGUGGCCUCUGCGAAUCCAGGGAGGGCUGUCCUGAGACCCCAGGCCGAGUGCUGCCUCUGCCUCUUAUUAUCCACGUGCCCUGACACGUCCCCUCUCCAGGCUUCCAUCUCCCCAGAUAUAAAAUGGGAAUCGUCCCACUUACCCCCCAGGACUGUCGUGAAAAUUAUAUGAGGUAAAUGGGUACUUGUUGAACCCUCAGGAGGACUCAUGAGCCAUCCAUCCAUCCAUCCAUCCAUCUGUCCGUCUGUCCGUCCAUCCGUCCAUCCAUCCGUCCGACCGUCCAUCCAUCCAUCCAUCUGGCCUUCGUUCACUAGCACGUGCUUUGCGCCAGGCCUAUGCCAGUGCUAGGAGAGUGGUGAACAAGACAGACAGGGCUCCCUGCCCUCCUGGAGUUUACAUUCUAGUAGGGGAGACCAACAAAAACAACUAAGUACAUAAAUUAGAUCAUUUCAGAGAGCACUAAGUCCCAUGAAGCGAAUUAAAAAGGGCUAAUAUGACAGUCAGGGGCUGGCGAUAUCUGAGCCGGCUCCUGAGUCACUCUCCACCUAGGUUACAGUAGGUCAGAAACGUCCGGGGUAAAGAAGGAAGCCUGGGAGCAUCGUGCUUGAAUCAUGUCCACUGGGUGAUCUUGGUCCAGCUACUUAACUCUCGGGCCUCAGUUUCCCCAACUGUAAAGUGCAGACGAGAGUGUCCUUCCCAUGGAGUAGUCGUGAGAAUUUAAUGAGAUAAUAAAUGCAAAACACUUCCCACGUAGGCAUUCAAGGAAUAAGGAUUCUUAAAUUCUAUAACAAUGGACAAUACUCGUCAAAGUACUAAUGAUAAAAAAGCAUCUCAAAAGAACCAGCUGCCUUAGUCAGGGUCUGCAGGACCAUGGGAGCCCGAGGCUGAGAGAGCAGAUGUUCUGACACCUGGCCCGAGGGGCGGGCUGUUAGAAGGGCCCCAUCCCUGCCACUCACUGUUACCACUCAGCCCGCUACCCUGGGGGACCCUCCCUCUCUCCCACCUGGAGUCAUGCCUAGGCCCCCACAUCUGGGUCACCUGCCUUCCUGUCCUCAGGGACAGCCUGGGGAGAGGAGAGGGUGGUGUCCAUUUCCCAGGUCAAACCCCAGAAAAGUGAGGAGCCGGGGUACAUGUCCUCCACCCGGCGGGGGUCGGCGCCAGGUUAUUUCCAUGACGACAGCAUGGGCGGAUUUGGUUUUGUUUUUUCCCUCUUUUAUUUUGAAAUAAUUCUAGCUGUACUGAAGUUGCAACAAUAGCCCAGAGAAUUCUGGAUGCCCUUCUCCCAGCAUCCCUAAGGCCAACAUUUACAUGACCCUGGUCCAAUAGUGAGAACUAAGAAAUCACACCGGGAGGUUUUUACGUAAGUGCUUCAUACUGACUCUGGGAGGGUGGGGCGAACCUCAGGGAGCCCCAGAUACUUUUUACAGCCUUUUCGAAGCCACUUCACAUCCAGUGUCUUGUUUGUCUCUCACAAGGAAUUGUCACUGCCCCCUCACUUCACUCCACUGACCAGUGGAGGAAGUGAUGCCCGAGAGGUACAUUUCCCACCUAGUAGGGCAAGGCUGCUCCUGGACCCCAACUCUCCAUACUGCCCCCCUCCCCGUGCUGUCCCCACAUUAUGACAAUGCAUCUUCUAGAGGCCAUGGGGACUUACCUGGGGCCCCUGCUGCAGGGAGGGGACAUGGCAUCUCAGAGACACACAGUGGCAGAGGGUGGCAAACUCCUUCUGUCCUCUCUCGUCUCCUGGAGAGAAAAACAACAGAGAAGACCCUCCCUGGACCCCCUUGAUUCCAAAUAAAGGUCUCAGAAGAGCCGGCUGCUGGGCAGUCCCCUUUGACCGCCACAGUAAGGACCCUGCAGUUGAGAGGACAUGGGAAACGGGCAGAGGAGCUCACGGCGGGAGCCGAGGACCUCCUGUGGGCCAGGACACGUCUCUUCUGACCAUCUCCGACCCAAGAAGCGGAGCGGACUUCUCCUCCUUUUACGGAUGAUGAGGAGGAGGCUCAGAGAGGCCAGGCGCCUUUUCUGAGGUGACACAGCCCGUAAGUGGGAGAGCCAGAUUUCAGGCCCAGGCUUCUUCAGCUGUGCCAGUCCCGUCACACAAGACGCCAGCCCAGCAUGGCUACGGGUCUUUCCCAAAUACACCCCACUGUUUCCUGCCCUCUGGGCCUCGACAGUGGAAGGCCCCCACCUCAGUCCCUUCCUCCCUCUGCUUCUUGCUGUGGGAAUCCUGCAUCUUCUCAGGGACUCUCUCAGACCCACCUUCCCUCUGAAGGCUUCGCUGCUUCCUCAGAAGGCAGCUUUUCUCCCUGGGAAAGACAAGUCUCUGUGUCCCCUCAUCCUUUCCCGGACACAGUGGCCCCUCGGUGUCUGGUGCUGAGCCAGGUGGUGGGAUGGAGGCAUGAACAAGGCGGGUGGGAGCUCUGUGUUCCAACGAGAGAGGCAGACGACAAAGGAAUAAGCAACAUGUACUCAAAAUUAUUUGCAGGGUGCUAAGUGCUGUGAAUAUAACAAAAAAUGGUCAUAGCAACGAGGACCCCAGUCAGGCAGGUCACUACUUUCGCCAGAGUGGUCAGAGAAGGCCCCUGGAAGAGGGACACUCGAGCUGAGACCAGGUGAGAAACAGCUGGCCCAUGAGACAGUCUGGAGAGUGUCCUGGGCGGAGAGAACAGCAGGUGCAAAGAUCCUGAGGUAGGAAUGCACUCAGCGUGCUGGGGGCUCAGAGGAAGGCUCGCAGCGUGGAGCACUUCCUGCCAGAUAUGGUCUUCUUCUCAGACUGGACCAGAAGCUCCUGCCGGGCAGGGACUAUCUCCUGCUACCCAUGUCUCCCCUCACCCGGUUCAGGCCAUUCCUUUGUUCCUUCAGGAGGAGCUGGAUCCACGAGAGGGACUCAAUUGCCCCCUAGUGCCAAUGCUGGUCUCUGACAUCAUUAAUCAGCAGGAGGUGAAGCCUGGCGGACGGACACCACUGGGGAGGCAGGGGCAGGCGAGCACCCGGCCUCCCCCACCGUGGCCUUGAAGGCAGGCCCAUGGGGAGGAGCCUGGGCCCCAGGGCUUGACUCCCGGCUCAGCCACUUAUAAUCCUUGAGGCUCUGAAAGUCACUUCUCCUCUCCUGGCCUCAGUUUUCCCUUCUGUAAAAUGGGGACAAUGACUCCCCAUGACCUGAGGGUCUGUCAGGAGCGUUAAGUGAGGAGCUGGUGAGACGGAGCCCAACUCCUUCCCAGCACCUGUACGCGCCCGGCCCUCUGGGCAGCAUGGAGAGGUCUCCACGUGCUCGGGGCUCCUCUGGGGUCUUGCUGGGUCCCUGAGGAGGAAGUUCUUGAACCUGGCCGCUCACCAGAAUCACCUUUCAGUCAAUAAAGUAGUCGUCCCCUCCUCCAGCCCUCCUACGUCAAUUCCGGGACAAUGGCCUGGGAGCCUGUGUCUUCUCAGAUUCUGCUGCUGAUGCUGAUGGGCAGCUGGGGAACGACCAGAAUUCUCCGUCCUGGUGGCUGAAAGCUAAGAGGCUCUGACGGCCCCGGGUCCUCCACCUCUCCGCCCCGGACCCCUGAUCUCAGCCCCUCUUGCCACCCUCCUGCGUUUCUGUUGAGUUUGUUUAUGUUAUUUUUUACUCCCCCCUGUGCCCUGCGGCCCUCGAGUGACACCGUUCUUCUGGAAAAUGCUGGAGAAACAAUAAAGGCUGUACCAAUCGGA